UUAAUUCGACGCAACGCGCAGAACCUUACCAGCCCUUGACAUGUCUAUGACCGGUACCAGAGAUGGAACCUUCCCUUCGGGGCAUAGAGCACAGGUGCUGCAUGGCUGUCGUCAGCUCGUGUCGUGAGAUGUUGGGUUAAGUCCCGCAACGAGCGCAACCCUCGCCCUUAGUUGCCAGCAUUAAGUUGGGCACUCUAAGGGGACUGCCGGUGAUAAGCCGAGAGGAAGGUGGGGAUGACGUCAAGUCCUCAUGGCCCUUACGGGCUGGGCUACACACGUGCUACAAUGGUCGGUACAGAGGGUUGCCAAGCCGCGAGGUGGAGCUAAUCCCACAAAACCGAUCGUAGUCCGGAUCGCAGUCUGCAACUCGACUGCGUGAAGUCGGAAUCGCUAGUAAUCGCGAAUCAGAAUGUCGCGGUGAAUACGUUCCCGGGCCUUGUACACUCCGCC
rnacentral:rRNA from 1 species